ensembl:snoRNA small nucleolar RNA SNORD53/SNORD92
GAGGAGUGAUGAUGCUGAGAAUGGUUUCGCAUACGAGACUGAAUUCCUGUGAUGACACAAUUCUCUUGGCUAUCUGACCCG